rnacentral:rRNA from 1 species
AANACCCUUUUGNAACGCCCUUCGGCGNACCCAGAAACCCUUUGUGAACUUAUACCUAUCUGUUGCCUCGGCGCAGGCCGGCCUCUUCGCUGAGGCCCCCUGGAAACAGGGAGCAGCCCGCCGGCGGCUAACUAAACUCUUGUUUCUACAGUGAAUCUCUGAGUAAAAAACAUAAAUGAAUCAAAACUUUCAACAACGGAUCUCUUGGUUCUGGCAUCGAUGAAGAACGCAGCGAAAUGCGAUAAGUAAUGUGAAUUGCAGAAUUCAGUGAAUCAUCGAAUCUUUGAACGCACAUUGCGCCCUCUGGUAUUCCGGAGGGCAUGCCUGUUCGAGCGUCAUUUCAACCCUCAAGCCUGGCUUGGUGAUGGGGCACUACUUCCUCACGGGAGUAGGCCCUGAAAUUCAGUGGCGAGCUCGCCAGGACCCCGAGCGUAGUAGUUAUAUCUCGCUUUGGAAGGCCCUGGCGGUGCCCUGCCGUUAAACCCCCAACUUCUGAAAAUUUGACCUCGGAUCANGUAGGAAUACCCGCUGAACUUAAGCAUAUCAAUAAGCCNGAGGAAA